ACGGAAGGCAGCAGUAGGGAAUAUUGCACAAUGGGGGGAACCCUGAUGCAGCAACGCCACGUGUGGGAAGACGCAUUUCGGUGUGUAAACCACUGUCGUGAGGGAAUAAGGCUACUUUCCGGAGUAGUUGAAUGUACUUUGAAAGGAAGCACCGGCAAACUUCGUGCCAGCAGCCGCGGUAAUACGAGGGGUGCAAGCGUUGUUCGGAAUCACUGGGCGUAAAGGGAGCGCAGGCGGGGAUGCAAGCAGUCUGUACAAUACCGGGGCCCAACCCCGGACCUGCAGACUGGACUGUUUCCCUUGGAUGGCUCAGGGGCUGGCGGAAUUCCUGGUGUAGCGGUGGAAUGCGUAGAGAUCAGGAAGAACACCGAUGGCGAAGGCAGCCAGCUGGGGGCUUAUCGACGCUCAUGCUCGAAAGUGCGGGUAGCAAACAGGAUUAGAUACCCUGGUA
rnacentral:rRNA from 1 species